UUCAGAUUUGACUUAGUGGCGGACGGGUGAGUAAUGCAUGAGCAACCUGCCCUGCAGUGGGGGACAACAGUUGGAAACGACUGCUAAUACCGCAUAAUGUAUUCUGACCGCAUGAUCGGAAUACCAAAGAUUUAUUGCUGAAAGAUGGCCUCGCGUCUGAUUAGAUAGUUGGCGGGGUAACGGCCCACCAAGUCGACGAUCAGUAGCCGGACUGAGAGGUUGAACGGCCACAUUGGGACUGAGACACGGCCCAGACUCC
rnacentral:rRNA from 1 species